rnacentral:hammerhead_ribozyme from 1 species
AAGCGAAACUGCCAGAGCGAGUCUGGUAGUCGUCGGGAGGUGGCGCUCCCGGCCCGAUGAGCAGCCACAA